rnacentral:rRNA from 1 species
UGCAGUCGAACGAUGAAAGGGAGCUUGCUCCCUGGAUUAGUGGCGAACGGGUGAGUAACACGUGAGUAACCUGCCCUUGACUCUGGGAUAAGCACUGGAAACGGUGUCUAAUACCGGAUACGAACUUCAGCCGCAUGGCUAGGAGUUGGAAAGAAUUUCGGUCAAGGAUGGACUCGCGGCCUAUCAGCUAGUUGGUGAGGUAAUGGCCCACCAAGGCGACGACGGGUAGCCGGCCUGAGAGGGUGACCGGCCACACUGGGACUGAGACACGGCCCAGACUCCUACGGGAGGCAGCAGUGGGGAAUAUUGCACAAUGGGCGCAAGCCUGAUGCAGCAACGCCGCGUGAGGGACGACGGCCUUCGGGUUGUAAACCUCUUUUAGUAGGGAAGAAGCGAAAGUGACGGUACCUGCAGAAAAAGCACCGGCUAACUACGUGCCAGCAGCCGCGGUAAUACGUAGGGUGCAAGCGUUAUCCGGAAUUAUUGGGCGUAAAGAGCUCGUAGGCGGUUUGUCGCGUCUGCUGUGAAAACUGGGGGCUCAACCCCCAGCCUGCAGUGGGUACGGGCAGACUAGAGUGCGGUAGGGGAGAUUGGAAUUCCUGGUGUAGCGGUGGAAUGCGCAGAUAUCAGGAGGAACACCAAUGGCGAAGGCAGAUCUCUGGGCCGUAACUGACGCUGAGGAGCGAAAGCAUGGGGAGCGA